rnacentral:rRNA from 1 species
UACGUAGGGGGCGAGCGUUGUCCGGAUUUAUUGGGCGUAAAGAGCUCGUAGGCGGCACGGUUAGUCAGGUGUGAAAUCUCCACGCUCAACGUGGAGGGGUCACCUGAUACUGCCGAGCUUGAGUCCGGUAGGGGAGUGUGGAAUUCCCGGUGUAGUGGUGAAAUGCGUAGAUAUCGGGAGGAACACCAGUGGCGAAGGCGACUACCUGGCCUGUUCUUGACGCUGAGGCGCGAAAGCUAGGGGAGCAAACGGG